UACGAAGGGGGCUAGCGUUGCUCGGAAUCACUGGGCGUAAAGGGCGUGCAGGCGGUCUGUUAAGUUCAGGGUGAAAGCUCCCGGCUCAACUGGGAGAGGUCCUUGGAUACUGGUAGACUUGAGGAGGGUAGAGGAGAGUGGAAUUCCCGGUGUAGUGGUGAUAUGCGUAGAUAUCGGGAGGAACACCAGUGGCGAAGGCGGCUCUCUGGGCCCUACCUGACGCUGAGACGCGAAAGCGUGGGGAGCGAACCGG
rnacentral:rRNA from 1 species